rnacentral:rRNA from 1 species
GACGAACGCUGGCGGCGUGCUUAACACAUGCAAGUCGAACGAAGAGCGACGGAAGCUUGCUUCUAUCAAUCUUAGUGGCGAACGGGUGAGUAACGCGUAAUCAACCUGCCCUUCAGAGGGGGACAACAGUUGGAAACGACUGCUAAUACCGCAUACGAUCUAAUCUCGGCAUCGAGGAUGGAUGAAAGGUGGCCUCUACAUGUAAGCUAUCACUGAAGGAGGGGAUUGCGUCUGAUUAGCUAGUUGGAGGGGUAACGGCCCACCAAGGCGAUGAUCAGUAGCCGGUCUGAGAGGAUGAACGGCCACAUUGGGACUGAGACACGGCCCAGACUCCUACGGGAGGCAGCAGUGGGGAAUCUUCCGCAAUGGACGAAAGUCUGACGGAGCAACGCCGCGUGAGUGAUGACGGCCUUCGGGUUGUAAAGCUCUGUUAAUCGGGACGAAAGGCCUUCUUGCGAAUAGUGAGAAGGAUUGACGGUACCGGAAUAGAAAGCCACGGCUAACUACG